UUGCGGCGUGCUAAUACAUGCAGUCGAGCGGACAGAAGGGAGCUUGCUCCCGGAUGUUAGCGGCGGACGGGUGAGUAACACGUGGGUAACCUGCCUGUAAGACUGGGAUAACUCCGGGAAACCGGAGCUAAUACCGGAUAGUUCCUUGAACCGCAUGGUUCAAGGAUGAAAGACGGUUUCGGCUGUCACUUACAGAUGGACCCGCGGCGCAUUAGCUAGUUGGUGGGGUAAUGGCUCACCAAGGCGACGAUGCGUAGCCGACCUGAGAGGGUGAUCGGCCACACUGGGACUGAGACACGGCCCAGACUCCUACGGGAGGCACCAGUAGGAAAUCUUCCGCAAUGAACGAAAGUCUGACAGAACAACCCCGCGUGGGUGAAGAA
rnacentral:rRNA from 1 species